AUACGGAGGAUCAGAGCGUUAUCCGGAUUUAUUGGGUUUAAAGGGUGCGCAGGCGGCCAUUUAAGUCAGCGGUUAAAUCGUGGGGCUCAACCCCAUUCUGCCGUUGAUACUGGGUGGCUUGAUUGCGGUCGAGGUUGGCGGAAUUCGUUGUGUAGCGGUGAAAUGCAUAGAUAUGACGAAGAACACCGAUUGCGUAGGCAGCUGACCAGACCGCAAAUGACGCUCAUGCACGAAAGUGCGGGGAUCGAACAGGAUUAGAUACCCUGGUAGUCCGCACAGUAAACGAUGAAUACUUGUCUUCGGCGAUAUAAUGUCGGAGGCAAAGCGAAAGCGAUAAGUAUUCCACCUGGGGAGUACGCCGGCAACGGUGAAACUCAAAGGAAUUGACGGGG
rnacentral:rRNA from 1 species